UCGCAGGCAGAUCCGCCGCCGACCUUCUGCUUCGCAAAAAAACCCUAGGCUCGGCGAACUUUCUCGUCUCCGAUACGCGGCGAACGCCACCACCCUCCCGGCCUCCAUCUCUUAUGCCUCGAGAAAACCGCAAGCUUCGAUCUCGCGACCUUCGCCCGAGCCUCGCCGGCGCGCCUGAAGUCCGCCAUCCGACGUACUUCGCUGUCAAACGCCCCUUUCCCGACGCUCCUGGCCGUGUCUUCUUCCCCAGCCGAGGCUCCUACCCGAGAGAGAGAGAGCUCGCAUGGAAUCUCUCUCCCACUUUGGCGGCGCUUCCUCCUUCGGUCCCCGCCACUGACAUUCCGCCGGCCUGUCUAGAAGCUGGUGUCUAGAUCCCGCCGGCCUUAGUCCCUCUCAAGCGAUUAGCGGGAUCAUUUGCGCCUCCUCCAGUGCCGACAGUACCUUGUGCUCCGUUCCAUGCCUUUUUGGCCUGCAGCCUCGCAGCACCUUGCUACCUUCUGCGCUCCUGUCGCUGACGACCUGGCUGACUCUUCCUCGCCGCAGCUUCGAUCAUUUGCGGGGCGAUGACCUCGUUACGACACGAAGGGCGACGUUGGACCCCUCCCUCGAAGGUUGGAUUUUCCAUGAAGAAAUAGGAGACGGGGCUCAUGCGGAAAGACUUUUACUUGUUGGAAAAAUAUUUUCCUUUUUACGGUCUGUACCACAUUUUCAAAUUGCAUUCAAUUGUGCUAUAGGUCAGUUAUAUUGUAAGAAGGUUCUGAGAUUUAGCAGAAUAAGAAUUUAACAUUGCUCGGAAGCUUUUACAGGAAAAUAACAUCAGAAUUUCUUGCUGACAUGCUAAAUGACGGACUAGCUGACCCCAUUGAAGUUGAACUGAAUAUGUCUGACCUGUGAGGCAAGGAGCGAUACAGAGAAGACAAUGGAUGGUCAGUCGGUAAGUCCCAAAGAGCUCUGUGGUCUUUUCUUCGAGCAUGCCCUUUGGGCCAUUGCAUGGACUUCUCCUGAGAAGGUCUAGAAGUAGCUUUACGACAUUGUAGAGAAAAUGGUGGAACUGCCACUGCCUACUAUGGGGCGGACCUUGUCUUUUGUCGGCAAUUCUUUCGGUUUCCUUUUUCUCCAUAGACUUGGAGAAAAAGGAAACCGAAAGAAUUGUCCGAGAAAGAGAAGACCCGCUCCAUAGCCAGACAAUUCUACCAUUUUCUCUGCAACGCUCUAAAGCUACUUCCAGACCUUCUCAAGAGAAGUUCAUGCAAUGACCCAAAGGGCGAUGAAGUUGGUAAAUUCCAAAGAGCUCUGUGGCCUUUUCUUCGAGCAUGCCCUUCGGGCCAUUGCAUGGACUUCUCCUGAGAAGGUCUGGAAGUAGUUUUACGGCGUUGCAGAGAAAAUGGUAGAACUACCUGCUAUGGGGCGGGCCUUGUCUUUCGUCGGCAAUUCUUUCGGUUUCCUUUUUCUCCAUAGACUUGGAGAAAAAGGAAACCGAAAGAAUUGCCGACGAAAGAGAAGGCCCGCUCCAUAGCCAGGCAAUUCCACCAUUUUCUCUGCAACGCUCUAAAGCUACUUCCAGACCUUCUCAGGAGAAGUCCAUGCAAUGGCCCAAAGGGCGAUGAAGGAAUGCCAGAAGAAAAAGCCACCGAGCUCUUUGGGAUAUACCGCCCGACCAUCUAUUGCCUUCUUUUUAUUGCUCCUUGUCUGACAGGCCCAGUCAUACUCAGUUCAACUGUAAUGAGAUCAGCUAGGCAGUCGUCAAAAAACUUGGAAUAAGUGCGGUGAAUGAAUGUCAUCUGCAUAAGGGGAAGAUAUGAAGAUAUCACUUACUAUAUUGGAGGAAGUUAUUUACGUUUUGAAUGAAAUUUGGAUCGUAAACCUUCAAGAAUGUACUGUCUCGCUUCAAGCUAGCUAUGCUUUGUUGCUUGUAUUCUUGUAGGUAGAAUUGUAUUGUAAUGUUAUAGCACAUUGACCACAUCUAUUACUCAAUUUGCCAUCCAAAAGUACUCCCUCUCCUUUCCCUAUAUUUCUUUUCCUCAUCAUCCUUAGCCUCAUCCUUAAUUUUUUUGUUGUUGGCUUGGUGGUUAUUUUGUAAAUAUCAAUGUUUAGGGCGGUGUGCAUGUAAUUACUCCCUAUGGAAAAUUUAAAUUUAUGCCACAAUUCUUUGCAUAUCUCACUCCCAUUGUUUGAUAUUUACAUUUUUACCCCACUGGUGCUAUAAACUUA